AUUGAACGCUGGCGGCAUGCUUUACACAUGCAAGUCGAACGGCAGCGCGGGAGUUGGCCUGGCGGCGAGUGGCGCACGGGUGAGUAAUACAUCGGAACGUGCCCAGUAGCGGGGGAUAGCACGGCGAAAGCCGGAUUAAUACCGCAUACGACGUGAGGGUGAAAGCGGGGGAUCUUCGGACCUCGCGCUAUUGGAGCGGCGGAUGGCAGAUUAGCUAGUUGGUGGGGUAAAGGCCUACCAAGGCGACGAUCUGUAGCUGGUCUGAGAGGACGACCAGCCACACUGGGACUGAGACACGGCCCAGACUCCUACGGGAGGCAGCAGUGGGGAAUGUUGGACAAUGGGCGAAAGCCUGAUCCAGCAAUGCCGCGUGUGUGAUGAAGGCCUUCGGGUUGUAAAGCACUUUUGGCGGGAACGAAAAGGACUGUGCCAAUACCACGGUUCGAUGACGGUACCCGCAGAAUAAGCACCGGCUAACUACGUG
rnacentral:rRNA from 1 species